rnacentral:rRNA from 1 species
GCUCUCGGGUCGUAAACCUCUYUCAGGUGGGAAGAAAGGUCGAAAAGUAAAUAAUUUUUCGGCUGUGACGGUACCACCAGAAGAAGCUCCGGCUAACUCCGUGCCAGCAGCCGCGGUAAUACGGGGGGAGCAAGCGUUGUUCGGAUUCAUUGGGCGUAAAGGGCGCGUAGGCGGCUUGACAAGUCUGACGUGAAAUGUACCGGUUCAACCGGGGCGCCGUGUCAGAAACUGUCUUGCUUGAGGUCGAGGGAGGAAAGUGGAAUUCCUGGUGUAGCGGUGAAAUGCGUAGAUAUCAGGAGGAACACCCGUGGCGAAGGCGGCUUUCUAUCUCGAAUCUGACGCUGAGGCGCGAAAGCUAGGGGAGCAAACGGGAUUAGAUACCCCGGUAGUCCUAGCCGUAAACGAUGGGCACUAGGUGUGGGAGGUAUCGACCCCUUCCGUGCCGGAGCUAACGCAUUAAGUGCCCCGCCUGGGGAGUACGGUCGCAAGAUUGAAACUCAAAGGAAUUGACGGGGGCCCGCACAAGCGGUGGAGCAUGUGGUUUAAUUCGACGCAACGCGAAGAACCUUACCGGGGCUUGAACUGCAGAGUGCAGCUCUAGAAAUAGAGUGUGCCCUUCGGGGCGUUCUGUAGAGGUGCUGCAUGGCUGUCGUCAGCUCGUGUCGUGAGAUGUUGGGUUAAGUCCCGCAACGAGCGCAACCCUUGCCGUUAGUUGCCAUC